rnacentral:rRNA from 1 species
GUGAAAUCCCCGGGCUUAACCUGGGAACUGCAUUCGAAACUGGCAGGCUGGAGUCUUGUAGAGGGGGGUAGAAUUCCAGGUGUAGCGGUGAAAUGCGUAGAGAUCUGGAGGAAUACCGGUGGCGAAGGCGGCCCCCUGGACAAAGACUGACGCUCAGGUGCGAAAGCGUGGGGAGCAAACAGGAUUAGAUACCCUGGUAGUCCACGCCGUAAACGAUGUCGACUUGGAGGUUGUUCCCUUGAGGAGUGGCUUCCGGAGCUAACGCGUUAAGUCGACCGCCUGGGGAGUACGGCCGCAAGGUUAAAACUCAAAUGAAUUGACGGGGGCCCGCACAAGCGGUGGAGCAUGUGGUUUAAUUCGAUGCAACGCGAAGAACCUUACCUACUCUUGACAUCCAGAGAACUUAGCAGAGAUGCUUUGGUGCCUUCGGGAACUCUGAGACAGGUGC